GACGAACGCUGGCGGCGUGCUUAACACAUGCAAGUCGAACGGAAAGGCCCUGCUUUUGUGGGGUGCUCGAGUGGCGAACGGGUGAGUAACACGUGAGUAACCUGCCCUUGACUUUGGGAUAACUUCAGGAAACUGGGGCUAAUACCGGAUAGGAGCUCCUGCUGCAUGGUGGGGGUUGGAAAGGUUCGGCGGUUGGGGAUGGACUCGCGGCUUAUCAGCUUGUUGGUGGGGUAGUGGCUUACCAAGGCUUCGACGGGUAGCCGGCCUGAGAGGGUGACCGGCCACAUUGGGACUGAGAUACGGCCCAGACUCCUACGGGAGGCAGCAGUGGGGAAUAUUGCACAAUGGGCGGAAGCCUGAUGCAGCAACGCCGCGUGCGGGAUGACGGCCUUCGGGUUGUAAACCGCUUUCGCCUGUGACGAAGCGUGAGUGACGGUAAUGGGUAAAGAAGCACCGGCUAACUACGUG
rnacentral:rRNA from 1 species